AGAUCCCAGAGGGAAAGGAAGAGGCUUAAUCUUAGAUCCACAACCUGAACGUCAAGGUCACAGCCAAAGCGCGAUUGGGGCAGCUGUGGGGGUGGUAGGAUGUGCGGUGUUGACAGCUAUGAUUGCAGCAUUUGCUGUAAGGAGAAGACGACUGAACCAACAGCUACCAGAUGAAUCAAGUAACACAAUCAAUAACAACUGUGACGUGAAUGAAGACGGGGUGAUCUACGCCGACAUUAUCCUCCCUAUCCCCUCCGACGGAGUACAGAUCCACGAAUUUGAGUCCACAGAGUAUGCCUGCAUCAGAUAUGGAUAGUGUAAACUCUCUUUCUCUUCAUUUUUUUUGUUUUUGAGCACCAACUGUAUUAAAUACUGAAAUACUGUGAAAUUUGCAAUAUUUUCUCCAAUAUUGACGAAGUUGGCACUGAAGUUCCCCACGGUCCUUGACAAGUAUUUUAUUUUUUGACUCAAGUAUUGAAGUGACCAUAUUCUGCUCGUGUUUGGCCAUCUAAUUUAAAUUUUUUAUGCUCUGCACUUACCGGUAGUAUAACUUCCUGCACUUGUAGUUAACAGUCGAGGCUGUCGUGUUGUAACCUGCCCAGUCACGCAUGCACUUCCCUCUUUGGAAAAAGGUCGGGUACUGCUCGUAUUCACAGCCAUUUCCACCGGUACAGAAUUUACCGGACCAAUUGCAAUGCUUUACCGAAUGACUCCUACAACAGCGUCCAAGAGCCACUAUUCAGAACAACCAAGAUGCCAGAAGGACUCCUAAUAACACCAUGGCUCUGCAAGUUUUUAUAGCUAAACCAAGAGCAGUCUUUCAUCAGCGUUCCUGCUCUACUUCAUUCUGGACGUGUUUUCUUGAUACCAGUUAGUUGUCGCUAACUGCAUCACAUGCUUUGUUUCUCUGAUUCACUGUAACCUGACUCAUUCUUUGUAUCAAAGAAGAUUAGGAUGGAUGACCAGGCAAGUCUUGGUGUGAUAAUAUUGCAAGGCAUGUUUAUUUGUAUUAGCACAUUUCAUGCUGUACAUAAAAAGAUUUUAA